CCUACGGGAGGCAGCAGUGAGGAAUAUUGGUCAAUGGGCGCGAGCCUGAACCAGCCAAGUCGCGUGAGGGAAGACGGUCCUAUGGAUUGUAAACCUCUUUUGUCGGGGAGCAAAAGACGCCACGCGUGGCGUUCCGAGAGUACCCGAAGAAAAAGCAUCGGCUAACUCCGUGCCAGCAGCCGCGGUAAUACGGAGGAUGCGAGCGUUAUCCGGAUUUAUUGGGUUUAAAGGGUGCGCAGGCGGAAGAUCAAGGCAGCGGUAAAAGUGAGAGGCUCAACCUCUUCGAGCCGUUGAAACUGGUUUUCUUGAGUGAGUGAGAAGUAUGCGGAAUGCGUGGUGUAGCGGUGAAAUGCAUAGAUAUCACGCAGAACUCCGAUUGCGAAGGCAGCAUACCGGCGCUCAACUGACGCUCAUGCACGAAAGUGUGGGUAUCGAACAGGAUUAGAUACCCCUGUAGUC
rnacentral:rRNA from 1 species